AGAAACUGGACUCCUGCACCCCUGUCUCUUUUGCUGUAUCUCCCCUUUGCUUCAUGUCACUCAGCCCUUAUUGUAUCCAGCACCACAGAAACCUCAGUGUUUGUCCUCUGCUGGGUUUGGGGCACAAGGAA